GAUGAGCGCUAGCGGCAGGCUUAAUACAUGCAAGUCGAGGGACAGCACAGGUAGCAAUACUGGGUGGUAACCGGCAAACGGGUGCGGAACACGUACACAACCUUCCUUUAAGUGGGGGAUAGCCCAGAGAAAUUUGGAUUAAUACCCCGUAAUAUAGUUGAAUGGCAUCAUUUGAUUAUUAUAGCUACGGCGCUUAAUGAUGGGUGUGCGGCUGAUUAGAUAGUUGGCGGGGUAACGGCCCACCAAGUCUACGAUCAGUAGCUGAUGUGAGAGCAUGAUCAGCCACACGGGCACUGAGACACGGGCCCGACUCCUACGGGAGGCAGCAGUAAGGAAUAUUGGUCAAUGGACGCAAGUCUGAACCAGCCAUGCCGCGUGAAGGAUUAAGGUCCUCUGGAUUGUAAACUUCUUUUAUUUGGGACGAAAAAGAGCCUUUCUAGGUCAACUGACGGUACCAGAUGAAUAAGCACCGGCUAACUCCGUGCCAGCCGCCGCCGUAAGAC
rnacentral:rRNA from 1 species